rnacentral:lncRNA from 1 species
UGUGAAGAACGAUGGCGGGAAGAUCAUCUCCAUAUGGCAUAGCGAUAGAACGAACCUCUCUUGCAAUUUAUCAAGUUCAUAAAUUUUGAUUAUCGGAGAACACAAUUCCUUGAAACAAGACCCAAAUUCAACCAACACCCUCGAGACAGAUACACGAAGCACAUUUCCUAUCACUAGGGGCAGCAAGUCAUGCAGAAGCAUAUGAUUGUCAUGACUUUUGAAUCCAAAGAUUCGUCGAUUCUUCAAGUCCAUGCACCUUGAGAUAUUACUAGCAUAUACAUGAGGAAACUACACCCCCUUCAAUGAUUUCAACACUAUCUCAAUUUUCUUCUUGUCCAAAGUAAAUGAAGCAACAAGACAAGUUUUUCCAUCAGGAAGCUACCACAAUUGUUUUCUUAUCUUCAAUGCUCGCAAGUCUUCCCUCGUCUUCAAGUGAUCUUUCCUUUUGCUUUUGUCGUUUGGUAAGGUGAACAAAAUAUUGUCACACAUAUUUUUCUCAAUGUGCAUUACAUCCAAAUUAUGCCACAAUAAAUUAAACUACCAGUAUGCAAGCUUGAAGAAAAUACUCUUCUUCUUCCAUUGUGAUGUUGGUCCCGAUGGUUUCUCUUGUGUUUUACCAAAUAUAACUUCCAAAUUUGCCACUUGCCCCAAAAUAUCUGUACCAUACAACACUCUUGGUGGAUCCCGCUUCUCUAUCUUACCAUUAAACUUGCUCUUCUGCAACCGAAACUUAUGACCUUUAUCUAGAAAUCUUUGACUACCCAUGAAGCAUGUUUUGCCCGAAGAUGUCAAUUUGAUAUUGUCGGCAUCAUAAUUACAUGUUGGACAUGAUAGUACAAUGUAAGUGUUCCAACCUGUCAAAUUGCACAAAUCAGGAUAGUCACUUAUUGUCCACAUGAGUGCCGCUCUCAAUGUGAAGGUCUCGUUCUUUACAGCAGCAAAUGCCUCCACGCCAAUCUAUAAAGCAUUCAACUCCUGAAUGACCGGCUGAAGAAAUACAACCAAGUCAUUACUAGGCAUUUUGGGUCCUGGAACAAUACUAUAAAGGAUCAAACCUGUUUCCUUCAUACACAACCAAAGUGGAGUGUUAUAUGGAAUCAACACAAAUGGCCAAGUACUAUGACUUGCACUCAUAGUUCCAAACGGAUUGAACCCAUCUGUUGCUAAUGCAAGUCGCACAUUUUGUAGCUCAUUAGCGAAGUCUAGAUAGUUGAUGUCAAUGUU